UACGAAGGGGGGCUAGCGUUGUUCGGAAUUACUGGGCGUAAAGCGCACGUAGGCGGAUUGUUAAGUCAGAGGUGAAAUCCCGGAGCUCAACUUCGGAACUGCCUUUGAUACUGGCAAUCUCGAGUCCGGAAGAGGUUAGUGGAAUUCCCAGUGUAGAGGUGAAAUUCGUAGAUAUUGGGAAGAACACCAGUGGCGAAGGCGGCUAACUGGUCCGGUACUGACGCUGAGGUGCGAAAGCGUGGGGAGCAAACAGGG
rnacentral:rRNA from 1 species